rnacentral:lncRNA from 1 species
CAUGCUGGGGUGUCUAAGCCCAAUCAGAUCAAGAAGUCCAAAGCUGAUCAGAGUUAGGUAAAGUUUUUCUACCGUAAGAAGCUGGGUCACUAAAGAAAAAUUAUCCUCAAUAUAUAGCUUCCCUUGAUCCAAAUAGGUCUAAUAAGAGGAAGAAGCAAAUGGUUGAUAGUCAAAGUAAUUAUAUGACAACACUUUAUAACUUCUCUACUACGACUUGGGUAUUGGAUAUUGAAAGUCCUAUUAAUAUUUGCAAUUUGUUGCAGAGACUUUAGGUCAAUAAGAGGUUUGAAGAUGGUGAGAGAUUUCUGAA